rnacentral:rRNA from 1 species
CGGGGUGGAGUAAUGUCUGGGAAACGGCUCGAUGGAGGGGGAUAACUACUGGAAACGGUAGCUAAUACCGCAUAACGUCGCAAGACCAAAGAGGGGGACCUUAGGGCCUCUUGCCAUCGGAUGUGCCCAGAUGGGAUUAGCUAGUAGGUGGGGUAAUGGCUCACCUAGGCGACGAUCCCUAGCUGGUCUGAGAGGAUGACCAGCCACACUGGAACUGAGACACGGUCCAG